UCACAGUUGGAGUUCUCCAGCUCUGGAGGUGU
rnacentral:piRNA from 2 species